rnacentral:rRNA from 1 species
UAGCGGCGGACGGGUGAGUAAUGCUUAGGAAUCUGCCUAUUAGUGGGGGACAACAUUCCGAAAGGAAUGCUAAUACCGCAUACGCCCUACGGGGGAAAGCAGGGGAUCUUCGGACCUUGCGCUAAUAGAUGAGCCUAAGUCAGAUUAGCUAGUUGGUGGGGUAAAGGCCUACCAAGGCGACGAUCUGUAGCGGGUCUGAGAGGAUGAUCCGCCACACUGGGACUGAGACACGGCCCAGACUCCUACGGGAGGCAGCAGUGGGGAAUAUUGGACAAUGGGCGAAAGCCUGAUCCAGCCAUGCCGCGUGUGUGAAGAAGGCCUUUUGGUUGUAAAGCACUUUAAGCGAGGAGGAGGCUACUUGGAUUAAUACUCUAGGAUAGUGGACGUUACUCGCAGAAUAAGCACCGGCUAACUCUGUGCCAGCAGCCGCGGUAAUACAGAGGGUGCGAGCGUUAAUCGGAUUUACUGGGCGUAAAGCGUGCGUAGGCGGCUUUUUAAGUCGGAUGUGAAAUCCCUGAGCUUAACUUAGGAAUUGCAUUCGAUACUGGGAAGCUAGAGUAUGGGAGAGGAUGGUAGAAUUCCAGGUGUAGCGGUGAAAUGCGUAGAGAUCUGGAGGAAUACCGAUGGCGAAGGCAGCCAUCUGGCCUAAUACUGACGCUGAGGUACGAAAGCAUGGGGAGCAAACAGGAUUAGAUACCCUGGUAGUCCAUGCCGUAAACGAUGUCUACUAGCCGUUGGGGCCUUUGAGGCUUUAGUGGCGCAGCUAACGCGAUAAGUAGA